ACAAGUUGCAUGAUAUCUCUGAAUCGGAAUUUCUAACUGAGGCUGAGAUCAUUUGUGAUGUUGUGUGCCUGGUAUAUGACGUCAGUAACCCCAGAUCCUUUGAAUACUGUGCUAGGAUUUUUAAGCAACACUUCAUGGACAGCAGAAUACCUUGCUUAAUCAUAGCUGCAAAGUCAGACCUGCAUGAAGUUAAACAAGACUAUAGUAUUUCACCUGCUGAUUUCUGCAGGAAACACAAAAUGCCUCCACCACAAGCCUUCACUUGCAAUACUGCUGAAGCACCCAGUAAAGAUAUCUUUGUUAAACUGACAACGAUGGCCAUGUACCCAGAGGAUCAUUACAGAGACAGACUCUCCCGAGACAUGGGCAACACUGAUAGAAUAGAGAAUUUGAGAAAAAUCUGGGUCUUUCUAAAAACUGCUUUCCAUGCCCGGUUACGCUGUAUGUGCACCUGCAACAGGUGUACAUUUUGCAUCUGUCAGAACUUCCUCAACUCAGACUUGCUGCAAUCUGUAAAGAACAAAAUCUUCACUGCAGUUCUUAACAGGCACGUGACACAAGCUGACCUCAAGAGCUCCACGUUUUGGCUUCGAGCAAGUUUUGGUGCUACUGUUUUCGCAGUUUUGGGUUUUGCUAUGUACAAAGCAUUGUUGAAACAGCGAUGAUUAAAAAAAAAAAAAAUACUGGCCCUACCAAAAACAAAUACUUUUAUGUAUUUAUGUAUGCUUUAAAUUCUGCUAGAAAUAUUGAGAUAUUUAUACAUGCAGAGUUACUUUAUUAAUAUUUGUAAUUCAUGCAUAAGAGUAUUUUAAUGAUAGUUAUAACUGCAGUAUUGGCUAGCAUAUGGAAAGAAAGAGCUUAACAGCCAAACUAAAAUGGCUAAAUUUCAGAGGCCAAAAGGGAAUAUUUUGUAAAUAAUGUACAUAUUCAGGCAAGAUAUGGUCUCCCAAACUGAAUUCUAGAAAUGAUGUUUCUAGAUGUUUCUACAUGGUAUUGUUAGUGUUCGGUUGGCUCACUCUCCUAGAUCUAAGUCAGCUCAGAGAUUGUAUUUACUCAUGGAUCACUUAUUUAUUUCACAUUUUACUCAGAACGAUCCUUUGGGUUCUUUAAAGAACACCAGGCACAAUUUGCCAUUUUCUCUCCAUUUUUAAAAACAGAUGCGUCCUGGUCAGCUCACACCUCUCUUUCAGUCACUCGUUGGUAGGCCAGCCUCGAAGCUGUCGUGCCGUGUAGAAAGUUGCAUAGCUGAGUGAAGUGCUUCUUGAAGGAAGGGAGUGAGUUAAAGGCAGUUAGCUGGGGCAUUACCUAUAUGAUUAUGUUGCUUCCUUUGUCUGUAUGUGGAAUUUUAUAGCCCUUUCAAUCAAAUGAGAAAAAAGAUUUGUAUAUUAUCAAUGUUUUUAGUUUAAAUAAACAGUCACCAUUACUACUACUGAAUUUCCUCCCCCAGUGUACAUCAUUCGAUAACGGCCGUGUCUAUUAUAGCGUCUUACAGUGGCUGCACGUGUCAUAAAGUGUUCUCUGUCUGGCUAGGAUAACCCGGAGGCAGCACUUGUUUAAAUGGUAAAAUAAAUCUAAUGAACAUAAACUCUCACGAUAAACCUAUUCUUUUUCCAUCAUCAACCUUUUCGAGUAUUUAAAUAAAUAACUGCUGUGUACCAUG